rnacentral:rRNA from 1 species
AUUGAACGCUGGCGGCAGGCCUAACACAUGCAAGUCGAGCGGAUGAAGGGAGCUUGCUCCUGGAUUCAGCGGCGGACGGGUGAGUAAUGCCUAGGAAUCUGCCUGGUAGUGGGGGAUAACGUCCGGAAACGGGCGCUAAUACCGCAUACGUCCUGAGGGAGAAAGUGGGGGAUCUUCGGACCUCACGCUAUCAGAUGAGCCUAGGGCGGAUUAGCUAGUUGGUGGGGUAAAGGCCUACCAAGGCGACGGUCCGUAACUGGUCUGAGAGGAUGAUCAGUCACACUGGAACUGAGACACGGUCCCGACUCCUACGGGAGGCAGCAGUGGGGAAUAUUGGACAAUGGGCGAAAGCCUGAUCCAGCCAUGCCGCGUGUGUGAAGAAGGUCUUCGGAUUGUAAAGCACUUUAAGUUGGGAGGAGGGGCAGUAAGUUAAUACCUUGCUGUUUUGACGUUACCAACAGAAUAAGCACCGGCUAACUUCGUG